rfam:Clostridium paraputrificum strain 373-A1 CP373A1_26, whole genome shotgun sequence.
GAAAUCCUGAGAUGUGCGCCUAGCUUAUCAUAUUCAACCUACAUAUGAUAAACGGGAUUUGCAACAGUUUUUAUGGAUGUCGGGCUUCAUUUAAUUCACAAUUUUGUGGCAGAAGAUGGCAAAAGUAGAAUGAGCUUAACCCACCUGCGAGGAGCAGGUCUGAAUAUAUAAGCAAACGGCAUGUUGGGACUUAG